rnacentral:rRNA from 1 species
AACGAACGCUGGCGGCAGGCCUAACACAUGCAAGUCGAACGGACGUAGCAAUACGUUAGUGGCUCACGGGAGAGUAACGCGUGGGAACCUACCUUUUGGUUCGGGAUAACAUCGGGAAACUGGUGCUAAUACCGGAUAAGCCCUUCGGGGGAAAGAUUUAUUGCCGAAAGAUGGGCCCGCGUUGGAUUAGCUAGUUGGUGAGGUAAUGGCUCACCAAGGCAACGAUCCAUAGCUGGUCUGAGAGGAUGAACAGCCUCACUGGGACUGAGACACGGCCCAGACUCCUACGGGAGGCAGCAGUGGGGAAUAUUGGACAAUGGGGGAAACCCUGAUCCAGCCAUGCCGCGUGAAUGAUGAAGGCCUUCGGGUUGUAAAGUUCUUUUGGUGGGGACGAUGAUGACGGUACCCACAGAAUAAGCUCCGGCUAACUUCGUGCCAGCAGCCGCAGUAA